rnacentral:lncRNA from 1 species
GGGGCAUCAUUCGGCCUUACCAAGGGCCUAUGUGCGAGAUCCCCUUGUAGCCGCUCCAAAUCACUCAUUAUCUGGCGGACGAAUGUCAUCACUUCAAUGAAGAAGGUGGUUCGGUUCAUAUCCUCACAUACUUGGCAUUUUGUGACAAUGUAGUCGACAAUAACCCUAAUCCUUUCUCGGAUCCUUCCCUUUUCCUGAAGUAAUCGCCCGAUUUGCUGGUUUCUGGUUUCUAACACCUGAAUGUCGUGAUGGAUUUGGUUUUGCACCUGUUGCAUUUCCUCUUCCGUCCUAGCCAUUAGAGCAUAACAAUGUUCGCUGUCAGCUUUAAAUUCAUUGGCUUGUUUAUCCGCCUAAUUCUCCAUGGUGGUUAACUUUCUUCUCAGGUUGAUAAUUGUCCCUUCAUACUUUCUUUUUAUUUGUUGCACAAAAUGUGUCCUCCCCUCUGCACUCUUUGCAAAUUGGGCAUGGACCUUUGCUAGUUCUUUCUCGGUACUUUCUUUCUCAGACUGCUUAUGAGCCUUUCGUCUGCUUGGUUCUUUCUCGGUUUCUAGCAGCUAUUCUCAAUUUCUGGAUUUGAGCCUUGAGGGAUUCGUUUUCCUGGGUUAACUUUUCUUUUCCCCUUCAUCUACAGCAGCUUGGAUACUUUUGGCGAAUUCAAGGUCCCUGAUUUCUCCUUCCAACUUACCUAUUCUAGCCCUGUAGCUUUCUUUUUUUGCCAACCAGCCCCAUUACUCUUGCGAGUCGUUGGUGAAUUGUUGAACGUGGGCUCUCUUAUCAGGUCUUUUAGGAAUCUGGAAUCUCCUACCGAACCAAACAGUGUACCUGGGGUCCACUUCACCUCUAGCUAGAUCUUGC